rfam:Cavia porcellus supercont2_10 genomic scaffold, whole genome shotgun sequence.
GGGGAUUUAGCUCAGCGGCAUAAGCACCUGCCUUGUAAGCACGUGGUUGUGAGUUCAAUCCCUG